GCCAACAUCAGUGCAGUCCUAAAGCUUCUUUUCAUCACCGAUAACAAGAAGAAAAUACAUUUACAACAGGCGUGUCCAAAGUGAGGCCCGGGGGCCUUUUAUUGGCCCUAUGCAGAUUAUGAAAAUAAUGACAGAAAAAGAGGGAAGCCUCUUCAGUCAUCCACUGUCUUUGUCCCUGUGGGUGAAGGCGGGACGCUCACAUACACACAUGAAGGACUUUACUGAGCAACACAGAGGAACAUGUCCAUGCAGCAGCCAUAUUGGAGGCGUGGUUCCAAGCAGCAGCAUGGAAAUAGCUCUGACAAUAAAAUACCUCCAACUUUGAUCCAGUUCUUCCACACCAAAC